GUAUUUUUCAGAGUCCUUGCUUUGUGAGCUGGAGUCCUCCAUCUGCAAAUCAUCUGCAGGGUGCUCACAAAAGCUGAAAACUGUUGGAGGGACUGGAAUGAAAGCAAGGCAGACCUGAGCAUCCAUACCUCUUGUGCAAGAGUCAACUGCAUUCAAACAGCAAAGCAUGCCAUGGAUGCGGUUCCUUGAACAGCUGGGGUAAUGAGCUGGAAGGGGACUGCUUUGAAGCCAGAAAUUAUUACAGGUCAGUGUAAAUAGAAAAACCCCAUCCUAAUUCCAGCAGUAAUAUCGCUUCUCUUCUGAACUGAUGGACUAGUGCCAAGUCUGUGACCAUUGCAUGGUAAAUGCUGAGUCACAGGCGAAACAGAAACCCAUACAUUUAGCAACCCGAGAGGAAAAGUUUCUUUUGAAGGUGAGAAUGUGUGAACCUACAUGUUUCAGAGAGUGUGGGUGUCUGGGUGGGGAGGCACAUAACAUUACAGUACCAAGGCAACAACUCUAUACUUAAACUGAAAAGGAAGCAUAUCCUUUUGGAAGGAUUUGUUUCUUUUCUUCUACAAAGGUUAGGAAACAGUCUUUGACUGUUCUUUGGUUAUCAGACAUAAGAUGGAUCCUUCGUGUAGGAAGACUUCAGAAAUGCUACUCUUCAGGGACUAUUUUAACGAACAAAACAGUGUUUAGAAGUGAUGUUUAACCUGUAUUUUCAAGAUACUACAGACUCAUUCCUUCACACAGAAGAGGAGCAAGAGUCUGUAUCAGCUUUCUCCAGCAUCAGUGAAAAAAGACUCCUCACCACCUUCCCCCCAGCACAAACACUGAAUUCAGACAGAGAAGACCAGGUAGUGGCAGAAGCCAGACACGUCACAUUAACCCUUUCCAUAGGAGCCAACUAGCAAAAAGCAACCAGACUUCUGCAGCAGCUAGAACAGAAAGCCGAACCUGUCUGUUCAAGUGUGAAAAUCGAAUGGG